CCUACGGGAGGCAGCAGUGGGGAAUAUUGGGCAAUGGAUGCAAGUCUGACCCAGCCAUGCCGCGUGAAGGAAGAAGGUCCUCUGGAUUGUAAACUUCUUUUAUCGGGGAAGAAGAAACGCCUUGCGAGGUGAAGUGACGGUACCCGAUGAAUAAGCCACGGCUAACUACGUGCCAGCAGCCGCGGUAAUACGUAGGUGGCAAGCGUUGUCCGGAUUUAUUGGGUUUAAAGGGUGCGUAGGUGGUUUAAUAAGUCAGUGGUGAAAGCUGGUUGCUCAACAAUCAAGUUGCCAUUGAUACUGUUAGACUUGAGAGAAGUGGAGGCUGGUGGAAUGGAUGGUGUAGCGGUGAAAUGCAUAGAUAUCAUCCAGAACGUCAAUUGCGAAGGCAGCUGGCUGUACUUUUUCUGACACUGAGGCACGAAAGUGUGGGGAUCAAACAGGAUUAGAUACCCUGGUAGUCCACACUGUAAACGAUGCGAACUAGCUUUUUGGCUUUAGAGUUGAGAGGCUAAGGGAAACCGAUAAGUUCGCCACCUGGGGAGUACGCCGGCAACGGUGAAACUCAAAGGAAUUGACGG
rnacentral:rRNA from 1 species